GACGAACGCUGGCGGCGCGCUUAACACAUGCAAGUCGAACGGAAAGGCCCUGCUUGCAGGGUGCUCGAGUGGCGAACGGGUGAGUAACACGUGGGUGAUCUGCCCCUUACUUUGGGAUAAGCCUGGGAAACUGGGUCUAAUACUGGAUAGGAACAUGCUGUAGGUGGUGUGGUGGAAAGAUUAGUUUCGGUAAGGGGUGAGCUCGCGGCCUAUCAGCUUGUUGGUGGGGUAAUGGCCUACCAAGGCGUCGACGGGUAGCCGGCCUGAGAGGGUGGACGGCCACAUUGGGACUGAGAUACGGCCCAGACGCCUACGGGAGGCAGCAGUGGGGAAUAUUGCACAAUGGGCGCAAGCCUGAUGCAGCGACGCCGCGUGGGUGAUGACGGCCUUCGGGUUGUAAACUCCUUUCAGCCAUGACGAAGCCCUUGUGGUGACGGUAGUGGUAGAAGAAGCACCGGCUAACUACGUG
rnacentral:rRNA from 1 species